GAGGAGACUGAUAGCAGCUUUCCAUUAACUCCACCUCCUAUCAACAAUGUUAACCAGAAGCUGAUUGUUAAAGAAGAUUCUUUAGACCUCGGACCUCCUGCCGACCUGCAUGACUCAAAGCCCCCCCACAUCAAGGAGGAACAGGAGGGAGUCUACAUCAGUCUGCCAGGACAGCAGCUCAAUGGGAAGGACGUGAUUAAUGCCACCAGGUUUCCAGUUGCUCCUCCUUCCAUAAAGAGUCUGGAUGAUGAACAGUCUCUGCUGCUCUCACAGCUUCAUCCAGACCACAUUAAAGGCAGAGAGCUUCCAGAAGAGAAUGGAGAAGAAUCCAUCAGGAUACAAGAUCAUAGAGAUGCUUCCAUUUUUUUAGAGACCGAAGACACUGAGAAGGAUGAAGAGGACAGUGAUGUAGAGCACCAUCCUUCUGGGCUGAAACAGUUGUCAGACUCUGGAUAUAAGAAGUUUUCUACAGAGAGGAAAAAUGGGGACUCUUUAAGGAAAGUCCAGACAGGAGUGGAACUUAGCUGCAAAGACUGUGGCACAACAUUUAUAGGAAAAUGCGAUUUAAACACACACAUGAGAAUCCACACAAUACAGAAGCCUUUCUGUUGUGAUCAAUGUGGACGAAGUUUUAGCCAGAUAGUAAGUUUAAACACACACAUGAGACUCCACACAACACAGAAGAAUUUCUGUUGUGAGUUUUGUGGACGAAGAUUUAAGCAGAAAGUAAAUUUAAGCACACACAGGAAAAUUCACAUAGGAGAGAAGCCUUUCUGUUGUGAUCUAUGUGGACAAAUAUUUAGGGCACAAUCAAGUUUAAAGACACACAUGACAAUCCACACAGGACAGAAGCCUUUCUGUUGUGAUCAAUGCGGUCGAAGAUUUAGGCACAAAGUAGCUUUAAAAACACACAUGAGAAUCCACACAGGACAGAAGCCUUUCUGUUGUGAUCAAUGUGGACAAAAAUUUAGACAACGAUCAAAUUUAAACGCACACAUGAUAAUCCACACAGGAGAGAAGCCUUUCUGUUGUGAUCAAUGUGGACAAAGAUUUAGACAACAAUCACAUUUAAACGCACACAUGCUAAUCCACACAGGACAGAAGCCUUUCUGUUGUGGUCUAUGUGGAAAAAGAUUUGGGCAAAAAUCAAUUUUAAAAAACCACAUGAUAGUCCACUCAGAACAGAAGCCUUUCUGUUGUGGUAUAUGUGGUCGAAGAUUUAGGCACAAAGGAAAUUUAAAAAUACACAUGAGAAUCCACACAGGAGAGAAGCCUUAUCGUUGUGAUGUAUGUGGACAAAGAUUUAGACAUAAAGUAACUUUUAACACACACAUGAGAAUCCAUAAAUGAGGGAAAAUGGCUCUGCUAGGAAUACUAACUUAAAGUACUUCUUGAUUCUGAAAUCAUACAAGUUGCUAUAUAUUAGAAUGUUCAUUUAUUAAUAUUACAUGAGGGGAAAAAAAAUAAAAAUUUCGACGACAAAGUGGAUUUUUAAGGCUUUUUAGCACAAGGCUCUUAAAAAAUUUUGGCCGCGUGUCACGUGACCGAUGACGUCGCUCGUUGACAAGCAUUGAUCUGUUUACAUGGCAACAAGUUACUUCCUUCUUGCAAACUGGCUUUUCUCAAACACAAAUAGACGGAUAAAAAAUGUUUAAAAGGUGUAUCGUGUAUGGUUGCUCUAAUACCAACAAGGAGAAUGUCUGCUUACACACAUUUCCGAACCCGAAGAGUCCCGAAGGUGAGAAAAUGAGCCGGAUCCCGACAUAUCACCUCGCUGACGAGAGGAGCAACGCGCUCAAUGGAAUCGGCAAGUAGCUGGUAGCCUCUAAACUUUCGUUUCAGACGCACUGUUGUCUCAGGAGUCCUGAGCGUAGUGUCUGUCCCGCUCCAGCCUAGACAGCCUGAGCCCACAGAAGCUAACUGUGCUCAGCCUAAGCUAACCCUGCAGCCCGUCUUCCUCACUCCUCACAUUGUGGGAGCGGAGGAAACUCGGCACAGCCAGCUGGUAAAAGACGUUUUACCAACGCUGAAGAGUGUUACGUCAGGUGGAGCUGCUCCAUUUGAGCUGGCUGGUCACAGGGAAGCCCCCUGAGCUCAGUCAGAGCCCACUGAGCUCUCUGCUGAUGUCUUACUCUUCCUCGCUGAUCACGCAGUGGGAGCGGAGAAAUCCCCCGGAGAAUAUGAGCGCCACGGCGCAACAAAUAAAUGCGCGUCUGUUCUCAGAGCGCUCACGUCUAGAUUAUUAUGUAAAAUUCGGGGAACAUACAAUACUGAGACACUGUGGUUUGUUCUGAAUGAAGAUCUUUUUCUGUUAUGUGCUGUUUUGGCGAAUUUAAGCCUUCAUAAACGAUGCUAGGCUAUUGGGCUUUGCCGAGUUGUUUCCGUGUUUACAUCCGAACUGUUCGCCUGAACCGCGAUUAUAAGCCUACCAGCAACCCUUUUGGUUUAUUUUCCUAAAAUAGUUUUCUCAGAAUUAACCGCAUCGUAACAGAUGAUUGCACUGUCUUUCAUGUUAAAAGCAUCACUUUGUGAAUCGCCAUUUGAACUUAUCGUUGUGUUCUCCAUUGCACUCUGUGGAGCGAAGCCUGAGCCAUGUCAACGAACUACGUCAUCGUACCACGUGACCCAGAGUGUGGAUUUUCCGCCUAGCGGUCGCUGAAGGGCAUUUUUUAGUCCUUAAAAAUGUCUUUAACAGCGCAAUCAUGAUGUUAAUGCCACAUUUUUUGAAAAUAUGGUCUCUAAUGCAUGUAUUUCCGAGUUGGUCGAUCUCAGAAUCAAGAAGUACUUUAAAGUGAACAGCUCUGAUUUGCUGUGAGAUGUUAGUCAUUAAAGGCAACAGUUUUCAUUCUUUAGUUGUUUCAACAUUUCUCUAGUAGCUAAUUUUUUAAAUUUUUCUUAAAUCUUUACAGGUUUUUCUCACUGUAUUCCACUAGCUCAAAAUGAAGUACAGUGUACAGUGUGUUCUCAAUCUAUGCUUGCUGCUUUAACCACUUGGCCCACCCUCCUAGGUAGAGAGAUUUCUUUAAAGUAAAAGUCCGGUCAGCAAGGAAGAAUCAGUGGGUUUUGUCUAUACCUACAACUAAUACGUUUUUGGUGAUUAAAUAUAUUUAGCGUUAAUCAGUCUAAAAAUUAAAUGUAUAAAUUGUCGUCGCGAUCACUGACCUGGGAGCAGCUAUUAUUGCCCAAAUAUGGUAACACCUCACUCGUGACAUCACAUCCAAUGACAUCCCAUGGCAAAAACAGUGGGCCAAUGUCCGCGCUUUACAAGCAAAUUCAAUAGGAAGUAUUGUACACAGCUCCGAUUAGCAACAAUUAUUUCAGAUUUGGAGAGGACUUCACCAUUGAAAUUCGCGAGAGCUAUUGUUAAAGUGACAAUGCCCAUGUGCAUGGCAGUUGGAUGUUUCAAUACAUUGGGUAAAAGUGGAAAUAAAAUUACUUAUUUUACCUUUCCAUUAUGAGGCGGAGGGAUAUUUCAGCUGGUGUCUGAAGUGCGGCAGCGUCACCUAGUUGGGAGCCCAAAUAAGUGACUUCACUUUUAGAAGCAAGCCCAAAAAACUGCAACCCUCAACUCCUGAAAGUUACAAGCGACUUUAGAAAAAAGAAGCCCAAAGUCACAUAAAUAAGUGGGCUUCGCAACAGUGAGCACGGGUCUGUUAUACUAGUCUCUGGCAUUCUUGGAACAAUGGAAGGCGCCGAGGGUAAAAAAAAAAAAAAAAAAAAAAA